rnacentral:rRNA from 1 species
GACGAACGCUGGCGGCGUGCUUAACACAUGCAAGUCGAACGGAAAGGCCCUGCUUUUGUGGGGUGCUCGAGUGGCGAACGGGUGAGUAACACGUGAGUAACCUGCCCUUGACUUUGGGAUAACUUCAGGAAACUGGGGCUAAUACCGGAUAGGAGCUCCUGCUGCAUGGUGGGGGUUGGAAAGUUUCGGCGGUUGGGGAUGGACUCGCGCCUUAUCAGCUUGUUGGUGGGGUAGUGGCUUACCAAGGCUUUGACGGGUAGCCGGCCUGAGAGGGUGACCGGCCACAUUGGGACUGAGAUACGGCCCAGACUCCUACGGGAGGCAGCAGUGGGGAAUAUUGCACAAUGGGCGGAAGACUGAUGCAGCAACGCCGCGUGCGGGAUGACGGCCUUCGGGUUGUAAACCGCUUUCGCCUGUGACGAAGCGUGAGUGACGGUAAUGGGUAAAGAAGCACCGGCUAACUACGUG